AGAACCGGGAGAAUUCCCAAUGGGCCGCUUCACUUUUGGGCCGAUCGAGGUUUUUGUUGUUUACAUUUGUCACAUUAGUGAGUCUAUCUUCUUUUAAAUAACACUACACACGUUCUGCAUUCUGACACCGCAGUGCGCAGCCUCUGCAUGGGUUGUACCAUGGGAGUGAGUUCCCCCCUCCCCUCCUAUAGAGUUGGUUAGAUCCAUAGUACGUCUAUUUCAAAACCUUUCUCAGGCUGGGCCGGCCCUACCGUAACGGUACGCGUUUCAGGGAGGAUAGGUGGGAGGAAGAGGCCAGGAGGGGCUGUAAAAGCCAGGUUGAAGAAAAGAAAGACAUUGAAGGAGGAUGCUGGCAAAUGUGCCAAGCUUACAGAUUUAUUUUCGAGAGGACAAACACAAGUGGCGACAGGUGUAUUACCGGCCGUGGGGAAGUUGAUUCGACGCAGCUCCACUGGGUCAGAUGGAUGCUGGGAAUUCAUGGCUUUACUGUUGCUGGGAAAGCUGCACUUCCUGCCCUCCAGCUCCGCCCGCUUCCUGAACCCUGUCAAUAUCGCUUCAUUUCUUCACCCUCUCUCAUUCAGUGUUCUUCUCCAUUUCUUCCUGUCUGCCGGCUGAUGUAAUUUAAACUCCAUUCACAUCUUUACAUCCUCAAUCACUUUCCCGCCCAUUUCACAUCCUCCCUCACCUCUUAAAGAGAAGAAUGAGGAUGACGAUGCUGAUGAUAAAGAUGACGGCCAGCACCGGCCCCACAACCCACAGAAGCCCCUCCUCCUCGUCUACGAUUGGCUGCGGUUCAACGUCUGAGAACAGCACGGCAUCGGAGAAUGGACUUGUGGAGUAUACAGUCUGUCAAUUAAAAAUGAAUGGAUUGUAAAAAUACGAAAAAAAACCUAAACAAUAAACUGUACUUUUGACUGAUGUCUUCACCAACCAAACUCAAACACUCUUACUCUCUGUUACUCUCUUGUAUCACU